GCACUGUUGAGGAGUCCCGCAAUAGGACGAAACGGCUGUCCAGUGC
rfam:Schistosoma curassoni strain Dakar, Senegal genome assembly, scaffold: SCTD_scaffold0011166